UACAAGUUGGUCUGAUAUGAUGGGAGCUUG
rnacentral:piRNA from 1 species